rnacentral:rRNA from 1 species
AGAGUUUGAUCCUAGCUCAGGAUUAACGUUGGCGGCAUGCCUAACACAUGCAAGUCGACUGCGUGCUUGCACGCAGGGCGAACGGGUGAGUAACACGUUGGAAACUACCCUUAAGUGAGGGAUAACCCCGAGAAAUCGGGAAUAAUACCGCAUAUGCCUUUCGAGGUAAAGCUUUAUGCGCUUAAGGAUGUGCCUGCGGGCUAUCAGCUUGUUGGUGAGGUAAUGGCUCACCAAGGCUACGACGGCUAGCUGGUCUGAGAGGACGACCAGCCACAGGGGGACUGAGACACGGCCCCCACUCCUACGGGAGGCAGCAGUGAGGAAUUUUGCGUAAUGGACGAAAGUCUGACGCAGCAAUGCCGCGUGGAGGAUGACGGCUUUCGGGUUGUAAACUCCUUUUAUAAGUGAAGAAUUUUGACAGUAACUUAUGAAUAAGUCACGGCUAACUACGUGCCAGCAGCCGCGGUAAUACGUAGGUGGCGAACGUUAUCCGGAAUUAUUGGGCGUAAAGGGUCUGCAGGUGGUUCUAUAAGUUGAGUGUGAAAGCCCACGGCCUAACCGUGGAAUUGUACUCAAAACUAUGGAACUAGAGUGUGUCAGAGGUAAGCGGAAUUUUGGAGUAGGGGUAAAAUCCGUAGAUACCCAAAGGAACACCAAUAGCGAAGGCGGCUUACUGGGACAUUACUGACACUCAGAGACGAAAGCGUGGGUAGCGAACAGGAUUAGAUACCCUGGUAGUCCACGCCCUAAACGAUGAACACUAGGUUUUAGAGGGAAUCGACCCCCUUUGGAACUAUAAGCUAGCGCGUUAAGUGUUCCGCCUGAGUAGUACGAGCGCAAGCUUAAAACUCAAAGGAAUAGACGGGGGCCUACACAAGCGGUGGAGCGUGUGGCUUAAUUCGACGAUAAACGGGUAACCUUACCUGGGUUUGACAUCCUCCGAAUUCUACAGAAACGUAGAAGUGCCUUUUUAAGGAGCGGAGUGACAGGCGCUGCAUGGUUGCCGUCAGCUCGUGUCGUGAGAUGUUCGGUUAAUUCCGCUAACGAGCGCAACCUUUGUCCUGUGUUGUAUUUCUCACAGGAGACUGCCCGGGUAACCGGGAGGAAGGGAGAGAUGACGUCAAAUCAGCAUGGCUCUUAUACCCAGGGCUGCACACGCGCUACAAUGGUCGGUACAACGGGGAUGCAAUGUAGUAAUACGGAGCUAAUCCUAAUAAAACCGAUCUCAGUUCGAAUUGAGGGCUGAAACUCGCCCUCAUGAAGUUGGAAUCGCUAGUAACCGGAAAUCAUCAUGUUCCGGUGAAUAUGUUCCUAGGCCUUGUACUCACCGCCCGUCAUGGCAUGAGAGUUGGGAAUAUCCGAAGUCUCUCCGUUAAGGAGGGCCUAAGGUAGAACCAGCGAUUGGGCUAAAGUCGUAACAAGGUA